rnacentral:rRNA from 1 species
GACGAACGCUGGCGGCGUGCCUAACACAUGCAAGUGGAGCGACGAACCAGGGCUUGCCCUGGGGCCAAGCCGCGAACGGGUGAGUAACACGUGGGUAACCUGCCCAGAUGACCGGGACAACCCGAGGAAACUCGAGCUAAUACCGGAUGUGGUUCACACACAUCAGUGUGAGAAUCAACGGAAGCUUCGGCCUCCGCAUCCGGAAGGGCCCGCGGCCCAUUAGCUUGUUGGUGAGGUAACGGCUCACCAAGGCGACGAUGGGUAGCUGGUCUGAGAGGACGGUCAGCCACACUGGGACUGAGACACGGCCCAGACUCCUACGGGAGGCAGCAGUGGGGAAUCUUGCGCAAUGCGCGAAAGCGUGACGCAGCAACGCCGCGUGAGGGAAGAAGGCCUUCGGGUUGUAAACCUCUUUCAGAAGGGACGAAGGGUCGGCCGCGAAUAGCGAGCCGGCUUGACGGUACCUUCAGAAGAAGCCCCGGCUAACUACGUGCCAGCCGCCGCUGUAAGAC